rnacentral:rRNA from 1 species
UAGCGGAACUCCUACGGGAGGCAGCAGUGGGGAAUUUUGGACAAUGGGGGCAACCCUGAUCCAGCAAUGCCGCGUGAGUGAAGAAGGCCUUCGGGUUGUAAAGCUCUUUUGUCAGGGAAGAAACGGUAGUAGCUAAUAUCUAUUAUUAAUGACGGUACCUGUAGAAUAAGAACCGGCUAACUACGUGCCAGCAGCCGCGGUAAUACGUAGGGUGCAAGCGUUAAUCGGAAUUACUGGGCGUAAAGCGUGCGCAGGCGGUUGUGUAAGACAGAUGUGAAAUCCCCGGGCUCAACCUGGGAAUUGCAUUUGAGACUGCUCGGCUAGAGUGUAUCAGAGGGGGGUAGAAUUCCACGUGUAGCAGUGAAAUGCGUAGAUAUGUGGAGGAAUACCGAUGGCGAAGGCAGCCCCCUGGGAUAACACUGACGCUCAUGCACGAAAGCGUGGGUAGCAAACAGGAUUAGAUACCCCAGUAGUCCACUUAUG